rnacentral:rRNA from 1 species
GAUGAACGCUGGCGGCAUGCCUAAUACAUGCAAGUCGAGCGAACGGACGAGAAGCUUGCUUCUCUGAUGUUAGCGGCGGACGGGUGAGUAACACGUGGAUAACCUACCUAUAAGACUGGGAUAACUUCUGGAAACCGGAGCUAAUACCGGAUAAUAUUUUGAACCGCAUGGUUCAAACGUGACAGACGGUCUUGCUGUCACUUAUAGAUGGAUCCGCGCUGCAUUAGCUAGUUGGUAAGGUAACGGCUUACCAAGGCAACGAUGCAUAGCCGACCUGAGAGAGGGAUAGGCCACACUGGAACUGAGACACGGUCCAGACUCCUACGGGAGGCAGCAGUAGGGAAUCUUCCGCAAUGGGCGAAAGCCUGACGGAGCAACGCCGCGUGAGUGAUGAAGGUCUUCGGAUCGUAAAACUCUGUUAUUAGGGAAGAACAUAUGUGUAAGUAACUGUGCACAUCUUGACGGUACCUAAUCAGAAAGCCACGGCUAACUACGUG